GAGCGGUGAGGAAGGAGGAGUGAUUGGUCUUGGAUCCCACUCCAAGUCCUGUAUCUCACAUCAGGGAAAAUUAUGGGGUCGCACCACUCAUACAUUAUAAGGAAACUAAAUUCCUAUUCAUUCAAGAGUCGAUCAUCUACAUCUGCUCAAGCUCGACCAUUAUGGAGUAUAUUUGCAACUUCAACUUCUCAUUAACACAUGCGAGUUGGACGAUUUAAGGCUUUCCUCUUUGACCGAAUUGAUAUUCUGAUUCCACCAAUCAAAAUAUCAUAAGAAUUUCCAAAUGAAGAGAAAUGCUUGCAAGGUGAAAUUGGCAAAGAAAUAUAGGUUAUUGCAUCAGAAGGAUAUGACAGGGACUCAACUGUCAAGUUUGAAAGGAAGCAUAACAGGCCUGAAAGGUAUGAUAGGAACAUCACAUAGAUGGCAACGGAGGCUAUAAAGAAAGUUGCCAAAAUCAUAGUUGCUAAGGAGGCUAGGCAUGAUUGACAGAAAUUAAGGAGUUGGAGAAACAGUAGUGAUUUGGACGAAGCACCUGCUGCCCUGCAACAUGGUUCACAAAUUACUCUUCCGAAGAGUAAAGUUAAGGUUUCUCAAUCUCAGCUUGGAGGGGAGAGCAUGGAAGGAUAAUGGGGAGUCGGGAGGUAAAUUUGCAGCCGUAUGUACAGCGACGACAACAGCUUGUUCAUACAGUUGCUCGUCGUGGAGUUUGUGGGCUCAGAGUUCGAUGCUGUUUCAACUUCCACACAAUCCAAAUUCUCAAUAAACACAAACCCAGAUCGACAAUCAAGUUGGUGUUGAUCCAAACUAGUUGACAAACAGGAAUUAGAUGAAGACUCGGAACUUAUGAUGGUGAUGUUGGUGCUGUGUGUCCCUUUCCAAUCUGUAUCAGCAUUGAAGAUGGAGGCGCCUCCCCCAGAAAUGUCUGCUUUUCCACCCACCUUAUUCUUUCAACUGCUCACGUCCGAUUUCACUCAGUCGUCAAUAAGUUGUCGUCGUUGUGAAUCAAAGUCAAAUCAUUUUUGUUCAACCUUCAUUCAUUUGAUACUGAAAAAGAGAUUUUUGUUAGUAUCGCGGAGCAAUAUUAUCGUCGGUCACAAAUUAA